rnacentral:rRNA from 1 species
UAAAAAUUUAAUUUAAAAUAUUUAAGUAGUAUUAGUUAAGAUCUUUAAAUUUAAAAAAUUUGGCGGUAUUUUAGUCUAUUCAGAGGAACCUGUUUUGUAAUCGAUAAUCCACGAUGGAUCUUACUUAAAUUUGUUUUAGUUUAUAUAUCGUCGUUAAAAGAAUAUUUUAUAAGAAUAAUAAUUUUCUUAAUUUUUGAAUUUAAAAUAUAUCAGAUCAAGAUGUAGCUUAUAUUUAAGUUUACAAUGGGUUACAAUUAUUAUAUUAUUGGAAAUUAAUAUGUAAUUUAUUAUUUGAAAUUGGAUUUGAUAGUAAAUUUAUAUAGAUUAAUAAUUUGAUUAUAGCUCUAAAAUAUG